rnacentral:rRNA from 1 species
UACGUAGGGUGCAAGCGUUGUCCGGAAUUAUUGGGCGUAAAGAGCUCGUAGGCGGUUUGUCGCGUCUGCUGUGAAAAUCCAGGGCUUAACCCUGGACCUGCAGUGGGUACGGGCAGACUGGAGUGCGGUAGGGGAGAUCGGAAUUCCAGGUGUAGCGAUGAAAUGCGUAGAUAUCUGGAGGAACACCGGUGGCGAAGGCGGCAUCCUGGACCGAUACUGACGCUGAGGAGCGAAAGCCAGGGGAGCAAACGGG